GUUUGUCAUUUAGUGAACACAGGGGUGUCACAUACUAUUGCGGGGUCCUCACUGACUGGAGGUGUGAGUGGUGACUAGGGAAAAGUGAAUACGAAAGUUUACAAAUAUUUUUUGUGUAAACAUAAACACUGAGACAGGCAUCUUAAGAUAUUUUGUAAUAUUUGUCUAAAAAUUUCACCAUACGAUCCUGAGGUGAGAUGUAAAUUAAAGAAUAACAUAAAAAUCAGCGAGAAAUACAGAUAGGAACUCAUUACGUUGGGUGAAGCAUCAGAGAUAAAAAUCACAGGAACUGUGACUCAUACCACUGAGAGAAAAGUAUUAUAAAGUCACUCGCGACUAGCAAGAACAGAAACGUUGAAUGUUACCAGUGAAACGUUGAACUUCAGCAGUGCAACGUCGAGAGAACUGCGAAAUUAGCACAGAAGAGAUAAGGAGCAGUGAAGGAUGUAGGCAGUGAAAAUAAAUACUUGAGUGGUUAGAGAUAUAGGUGAGAGAGACUGCAGAAACCCACUACCUGUAGCCUCCUGUUCUCCCGCAGCCCACGGCUGCCCAUCAACCAACAUGGGCUACCUGGCUGUCAUCAUCAUGGGAUGUGUGGUAGGAGCGUGUAAUGGGCACCUGGUGACCAACCUGGUGAACAAUGCUGCCCUGCCCACUUGCCCCGCCCUCCUGCACGCCGCCACCCAUCCACCCAGGUUCUCUGCGCCCAUGCCCCCUGACCUACGUGGCAAGUGGCUCUC